UUAAUUUUAAUAAUAUGUCUUUGUUUAUUGUCUGUGUUAGUCAAUUCUCAUGCUGCUAAUAAAGAUAUACCCAAGACUGGGUAAUUUAUAAAGGAAAGAGGUUUAAUUGACUCACAGUUCACCAUGACUGAGAGGCCUCAGGGAACUUACAAUGAUGUGAAAAGGGGAAGCAAACACAUCCUUCUUCACAUGGCAGCAGGGAGAAGAAUGAGAAUCAAGUGAAGGGGGAAGCCCCUUAUAAAACCAUCAGAUCUCGUGAGGACUUAUUAUCACCCGAAUAGCAUGGGGGAAACCACCCCCAUGAUUCAGUUACCUCCCACUGGGUCCCUCCCAUGACACAUGGGGAUUAUGGGAACUACAAUUCAAUAUAAGAUUUGGGUGGAGACACAGCCAAACUGUAUCACUCUUUGAAAUCCAGUGUGUAUUUUGCACUUACAGCAUACCUCCAUUUGGGAUGCUAAAUUUUCAUUGGAAAUACUUGAUCUCUUUUGAGAUUUUAUAAAAUUUAAAGUUGAAAAAGUAGAUUCACAUGCCCAAGUUGUUCCAAGCAUACUUAAAAUUUUUCCAAUAAUUGAAAUUAAAUAAAAUUUAAAUUUCUCAGUUGCACUGGCUUUAUCUCAAGUGCUUAAUAGCCACCUUUGGGUAGUGGCUGCCAUAUUGGAUAGCACAGAUAUAGAACAUUUCCGCCACUGCAGAAAAUUCUGUUAGACAAUUGAGAUCCAAUUCAAUUCACUGAAGAAACUGAGCAGCAAUUAAUGACAGAACGAGGACAAGAAGCUUGUUUGUAAGGAGUUUCAUAGACAAAACAAAAACAAACCAACCAAAAACCCAGAACACCAACCUUUCUAAAGGCAGACAUUCAACUGAUUUUGAAAACAUGGAGGACAACGUUUAUAGAAGUUUUCUAGAAGGAAUUAACUUUGCUUUUAUGUGUUCUUAUAUAUGAUCACAAAUAAGAUUUAAAUCAAACAGCUUACAAUAUGGAAGUUUUCAGGUUAUGUUUAGUUUAGUGAGGGACUU
rnacentral:lncRNA from 1 species